rnacentral:rRNA from 1 species
CAGGCCUAACACAUGCAAGUCGAACGAAGGCUUCGGCCUUAGUGGCGCACGGGUGCGUAACGCGUGGGAAUCUGCCCUUAGGUUCGGAAUAACAGUUGGAAACGACUGCUAAUACCGGAUGAUGACGUAAGUCCAAAGAUUUAUCGCCUGAGGAUGAGCCCGCGUAGGAUUAGCUAGUUGGUGUGGUAAGAGCGCACCAAGACGACGAUCCUUAGCUGGUCUGAGAGGAUGAUCAGCCACACUGGGACUGAGACACGGCCCAGACUCCUACGGGAGGCAGCAGUGGGGAAUAUUGGACAAUGGGCGCAAGCCUGAUCCAGCAAUGCCGCGUGAGUGAUGAAGGCCUUAGGGUUGUAAAGCUCUUUUACCCGGGAUGAUAAUGACAGUACCGGGAGAAUAAGCCCCGGCUAACUCCGUGCCAGCAGCCGCGGUAAU